GCGCUUGACGAUGAGGAUCUUGUCUCCUACAUCCUUGCCAGCCUCAACUUUGACUGCAACUCAGUGGUUCCAUCUGUUGCCAGGCGCACCAAUCCAAUCUCGGUGAAUGAGCUAUAUGGAUUUCUGGUGGGCUUUGAGU
rnacentral:snoRNA from 1 species